GCCGGAGUGGUGGAACUGGUAGACACGCGGCACUUAGGAUGCCGUGCCAUAGGCGUGGGGGUUCGAGUCCCCCCUCUGGCACCA
rnacentral:tRNA from 1 species